CAUUCCAACAGAAUUGCCAAAGCUGCCUUGAUAGCGUAUACUACUAAUUUAUAACCAAUUUAGCCUAACGUAAAUUUAAUUGCAGUUGGCCUUGCUACAGUCAUUGUAUUAGAGCUUGCCUUUCUUGCCUACUAGUCUUUGAACUGCUUUGCCUUUGCCUCAUUGAAGUUUUCUGUCUCUCUUCUAUGCUGCGCAUUUAUUCUGACAAUCUCUUGCCUGGUUUUCCAUGCUGAUCAUGCUUACCUGGUUUGCGUGGGUCGUUCAUGCAGAACCUUGACUUGAGCAUGUGCCGCAUGGAGGACAGUGACUUUGCUGGUGACUUUGAACUGGAUCUCCAGCCAGGCACACAACAGGUCACUGCAUUGGCCGGUUACUUUGACUGCACCUUUGAGCUACCAGUGCCGGCGAGAAAAUGGUACGAGGGUGAUUGGAGUGUCGACGGCAAGGCCGCAGAGAGCUCCUGGUCACGAUAACACUAGGGUCAACACAACAGCAGUAGUGCUGCACUGAAGAGUUGCUGCAACUGCAGUUGAUGCUUUGUUGAAAAGGUGCCAUGUUCAUGACAGUAUGGUGGUUUGUGCUGUGUUGGAACAGGGCAGACAUGGCCAUAGCUGCCAGAUGAACACAAGUGUUCCUCUUUGUUGUGAACAUUUGAGCAUGCGUUGUUGUCGACAUUGAACAUGUAAUUUGUACAGAUCUGCAAACAGUGUGUUUGGGCAUUGUGUUGCAAAGAAAAAGAGAUCCAUAACACAUCAGUUGCUAUACUUUGUCGGUAGUUCCUUGUAACAGUGUGGAAGCUGCAGGAUUUCUUGGCCGUUAAAAAAGGCAAAUGCCCCUCAAGAUGUGUUCUUCUGUGCCGCAUCAUCUUCUGUGCCGCAUCAUCUUCUGUUUGUCCUGUCGAUACAUGCUUACAGGUGUGAGCAUUGAUGCAACAAAUGUAUUGGUGCUAUGACCAUAAGCCAUGUUUACAUGAAUGUGACCGUGGGCUUCGCUUCGUAUAUGCACACUCUUUCUCAGCUGUUUUUUGCUGCCUCCUUGGCCAACACUAAGGGUGAACACCCCUCGAAGUCUGUUCACUCGUGCUGCAUCGUCUGCCCCGCCUCCAGCUGUUGUUUGCUUACCACUGUCACCAUGUACCGUACUGGAGUGUAGUAGUAAAUUAAUGCAGGGAACAAUUCGGCUUUCAGAUCAUUUUUCAUUAUCAGUGCAUCACCAGUGCUAAUGCUGUUAAGUGGAAACCACCUGCAAAGUGAAAAUCACACCUCUUUUAUGGCUUGGUGUCUCCUCUGUAGGCAUGGCAGCGUCAGACAAACAGCUGAUCACAGUAAUAUAAGAACAAAACAUACCUCAUGCUUCGCCCUUAGUGUAAAGUGAGACUAAGCAAUGGCUAAUUAUACCAUUUAUUUCUUGCUGUCAGUGGAGAGCAAGUAACAAGCUUGAAUUUGGGUUGAAGCAGGCGAUGUGGAUUGUGUGGGCAUUGCCAUGUUGCUAUGUGGUCAUGGUUACUGGUGGUAACAGCCACAAUAAUUCAUGGUAUGUGACGUGCACAUACAGAGGGUCUAACAUAUGGCAUAUUGCUCUAACACUUCAACCAAAAGCUCUAACCUCACCAAUAGUUAAGACAGUUACACCCAGAACUGUAUUCUGUUAAACAAGGAUAUUGUCUCAUACCUUUGGUAGUGCUGCAAAUUACUUGUGAGAUAGAGUAUAGGUUCAAAGCCCUGGGCUGAAUAUUACCGUAUGGCUCAACUGUCCUUGUGUCUUCCUCUGUUUGUAAGCGUUGUCCCUCGAACUGGCCAGUAAUGCACACAUAUUGAUUUCUUUGGCACUGCUGUGUGUUGGGCCUGCUGGUAUGCAAACUUAGAUAACAUUUUAGCCCCAGCAGACAAGGACAAAAGGGACACGUAGACACCACAAUAACUCAUUGUGGUGUGUAUGUCUCCCUUUUAUUCCGGCAUUAAAAUGUUACCCAUGAUUGCCUUUCAUCGCAACACACUGAUUCAGUGCUUCAGACAGAAGCGUGGAUGAGUAUACAUGAACAAGUGCUUAUGUACAGAUUUUUGUGUCCAGUGACUGGUAAAAAGUUAAAAAACAAGCAGUGUCUUUAAGUGGGACCACAAAUGCUGCAAUUGAGGUGUUGUGAAUAUUUUUUGACACUGAGAAAAUCCUGAAUGGACAUCAAGAAACAAGUGCAAAAGAGCCACUGUGUUUUCAUAUUUGUUUGAGCAUCUCAUCUUUCAGAAAUAAAGAACAAUAUAGUAGUACCUCA
rnacentral:lncRNA from 1 species